CCUCGGGAGAGCAACAAGGCUGGCGCGCUUCAGCCGUUCCAUUUCUGCUUUCCAUUUUUCAUCACGCCUUUGCACUAUUAACAGAAUCUCUGAAGUCAGUCUCCAGCGUAUUUAGUCUGUCCAUGACUGAACCUAAGUCGGUGGUAAUGGUUGUGAGAGCAGGAAGUGUGAGGAUUUCUUCUAGUGACCCAUGCAUCUCCC